rnacentral:tmRNA from 1 species
GGGGCUGAUUCUGGAUUCGACGGGAUUUGCGAAACCCAAGGUGCAUGCCGAGGGGCGGUUGGCCUCGUAAAAAGCCGCAAAAAAUAGUCGCAAACGACGAAAACUACGCUUUAGCAGCUUAAUAACCUGCUUAGAGCCCUCUCUCCCUAGCCUCCGCUCUUAGGACGGGGAUCAAGAG